GCCUCCGUAGCUCAGUUGGCUAGAGCGUUGGCUGUACUAAAGCCAUCCCCUUGCUGACGUGGAUUCGAAUUCCACCGAAGCCG
rnacentral:tRNA from 1 species